rnacentral:lncRNA from 1 species
CAGCGAAAUGAAAAUAAGGAGGUUUAAUGGAGGCAGUGGGUUGAGCCAAAUGGAGUAUGGGAGAAAGUUUGAAGAGAAACAAAGACGUUCUCUGAUGCAAUGGUGAUAAGGUGAAAUGGCUAUGCAAAGAGGUCCUAGCGUGAUUUCACUAGGGAAGGUGGCUAGAGGAGAUUGAGAUUCACUCUCCUAGCCGUGACCUUGAAGAAGAGGUAUUCUGGAAAUUAUUCAACAGAAAAACUCUAAUUUCAUUCAAAGAUGCCAGCCUAUGUUGAUACAAGCAACUUUAUAAGUAAAUGUCUAGCCUAUGGACGG